GUUGAACAGGCUCCAGAAUAUGGUCUUCCAAGGAUCUUUAUCUGACGUUGGAAGGAUAAUGCGGGCGCUGCAAAGAAUGCACCUAGAAGUGGAGAGGAGGACUUGCGAGAAACUUCCUCUGAAGAUGAAUGCAGAAUAAAAGUGCUGCAAGUGUUGAACAGGCUUCAGAAUAGGGUCU